UUUUAAAUAGUUUAUAAAAAACAUAAUAUUGAAAAUAUUAAAAAGAUUUUUUUUUCAUCUUUAAAUA
rnacentral:tRNA from 1 species